rnacentral:rRNA from 1 species
UACGUAGGGUGCGAGCGUUAUUCGGAAUUACUGGGCGUAAAGCGUGCGCAGGCGGUUUUGUAAGUCAGACGUGAAAGCCCCGGGCUCAACCUGGGAAUGGCAUUUGGGACUGCAAGGCUGGAGUUUGGCAGAGGGGGGUAGAAUUCCACGUGUAGCAGUGAAAUGCGUAGAGAUGUGGAGGAACACCGAUGGCGAAGGCAGCCUUCUGGGCCAAUACUGACGCUCAUGCACGAAAGCGUGGGGAGCGAACAGG